ACUCACACAGACUCACACAUUCUCACAUUCACACAUACAGUCUUACACAGUCACCAAGACACACAAACUCCCACAUAUGGGCACAUUCAAAGACACAGAUAUAGACACACACAGGCACACACUCACACGAUGGUGCCAGAGCCUCUGUUCUGUGCACAUGAUCUGUUUUCUGGCCACCACAUAUGAAGAAGGACACAUAGACGGAGGUUCACUCUGAGGAGGGUGGUCAGGGUGGCCCCCGUGCCUCUGAGGAGCCAUGAAGAUGCUGGGAUAUCCCAUGAGGAGAAGAGAUGACUCAGAGGGCCACCAAACGCUCUUGCAAUGCUCCGUGAACUUUCCUGUGGAAAAUCGAUUGUUCUGUGAGGCCCAGAGAUGUAACAAAUGAGGACUGGAGGUUGGGGGAAAGAGCAAUAACUAUUGAUUAGUGAAAUGUGUGUGAUGCAACUGCUAUGAUUUGAAUGUUUGUCUCCUCCAAACUCAUGUUGAAUCCUAACCUUCAAUGUGGCAAUAUUGAGAGACGGGCUCUUUAAGAGGAGAAUGGGUCAUGAGGGCUCUGCCUUCGUGAAUGGACUCAUCUAUCCAUGGAUUAUGGGUGAAUGGAUUAGUGGGUUACUGUGGGAGUGGAACUGGUGGCUUUUUAAGAGGAGGAGGAGAGACCUGAGCUGGCGUGCUCAGCCCAUGUGAGGCCCUGGGCUGCCUCAGGACCCUGCAGAGAGUCCCCGCCAGCCAGAAGAACUUCACCAGAUGCAGCCCCUCGACCUUGGACUUCUCAGCUUCCCAAACUCCUGGACCUUGAUAGAUGGACGUUCAUUAAACAUUUGGAAACGGAAUGAGUGAAAGGAAUCUUAGCCCUGCCAUUUCCUCUGCACCACUGAGCAAGUUGUUUACCGAAUUGGAGCCUCUUUUCCCUCAUCUGUCAAGUGGAGAGAAGGAAGCCUCCAUCAUAGGCUGCUGUUAAGCUUUUGUGCAAUUCUCAGGGUAAACAGUCAAUCAAUGGAGAAAGGUGUAAUUAUGAGCCAUGGAACUGGCUCCGACACUGGAGAAUGCUCUGCUUGCCCAGCGGCUCCUCCUCCAUCAGGUCCCUGCAGCUCUCUGAAGGCACAAGAGGCAAGCUUGAGAGGAGCUGGAAAAUACGGCAAAAGAGAAUCACAAGGAGGCUCAACAAGGUGACCAGUGCCGGACAUGAGUCUGAACAGGGGAGCCAGUGCAUCCCACCCUGCCUAGGCCGCCCUGCGUGCCUUUGCUGGAAUUCUCACUGGCAUGGGUCCCUCCUUUUAUCAGACUUGUGUUGAUUCCAUCGUUAUCUUACGUUCCGGUCAUUUGCCUGUUAGCCCUAAGAUCUAGCUUCCACUUUCCCCUGACCCUGCUGUAUAUCCCUGUGUGGUUUCUGCAAAACGUUUGCGUUUCCCUGGGGAAGAUGCAUUUUCCAGGCAUGCUUGCCCUUUGGUUUCUGGUUAUGUUCGGCUGAUGGGAGGUGCUCAUAGCAGAUUGGAAGGCAGGCAGAAGGGAGAAAACAGGCUGUUUCUUCCCCCAAACCUCUCUCUGCUUUAGGAACUACCCCAGGCAGCUGCCCCAUCUCCUCUGGGUUCUACAUUCUCCUGGGCCACUCUUCCUUCUACGGUGCCCUCUCUUGGGUUCUGGAAGCCUUCCCCUUUGUCUGUAGCUAGGGCUGGUAGCAGCUGCUGUUAUUGCUAAUCUCUGGAUAGCCUCACCAUGUCCUUUGCCCUUUCUUCUCUUCCAGCACCUUUGGACCUAGUUCUCUACAUUAAAAUUCUUUUCUUAAAUCACCUGGUUGGGAUCUGCUUUCCUGAUUAGGGACUGAAGUUUCUUCUCAGAGAAACCUUCCCGCACCAUCCUGGGAAAAGUAGCUCCAGGCUCUUUUCAUCGUCUUAUCCCACUGGUACCCUUCUCAGCACUAACCGGUACCUGAAAUGGUGAGUUCGUGAAUUGCUUCCUGUUUACUGUCUUUCUCUCCCAGCGAGAAUGCAGACUCCUCAAUGGCGGACAUGUGGUCACCCUUAUAUCCCCAGCACCCAGCAGAGGGCUUGGUGCAUAGGAGGUGCUCAGUGAAAGUUUAUGUUCUGUCAUUAGAUGCCACUAAUCUAAUGAGUGGCCUUAGGUCACAGUUGCUUUCUGUCCCAAGUUCUCAUAUUCUCAUCCACCAGUAAGAGUUGGGCUUGAUGUUAAAUAUCUGGGAUUCUGUGACUUUGCUUUGCAAUUGCUAUUUUCUAACUCAGCCAAUUUGGAAACAACCCAAAAUUUCGAAUUUGCUUGUCCAGAGUUGUCAGCCUGGCUCACAAAUGUCAGAAAUCACUAACUCCUUAGAGUGCUCUGUUCGACUGGAAGGCCAUUUGUCCUGGAAAGCCAUUGCUCUAUAUUAAGUGUUCAAGUGUGUGUACUCAUUAGGAAGAAAUGGAACAGAGAAGCCAUCAUUCAGUUUCGGCAAAGACCUGACAACAUGGGCAGCUUGCACAAGCCAUUCCAAAUACCAGUAAAUACGUAAUUAAGGCGUCGGAGGCCAGCGAAAGUCAGCCAAGUUCAUUCUGAGCUGUCCUAGCAAAGCAUGGGAAAGGCUGGAGGCUUUGUGUUUUGAACUCCACGGCAGCCACAUGCUGAACAGUCAUUUUUGUGUGGACAUACCACAGCACUAGGAUUCUGUUGAAAGAGGCACUGGAUACUAAGUGUUUGGGCAGCUUCUCUCUCCCCACUGUCACUGCACUGCUCAGGGUCCCCUCACUUUUUGGUCCAGACCUUUCUCCCGUGUCCCACUGGCUUUUCUGCUUCCAGAAUACCCACUCCUCUGCCCCAUUCCCCUCAAUCCCUCCUCCACAGUGGACUUUCUCAAAUGCUUGGAGGACUGAAUCACCCACCCACUUCAUACACUUAAUAAGUUCCAUUGGCUUCCGGACAAUUUCCUGGCUCCUUGGCACUGCAUGCCAGGUUACUUAGGAUCGGUUCUCCAACAACCUCCGAUGCCUAACUUUAGCCAUCCCCCUUGGUGUGUGCUUUAUUUCAUUUGAUUUAAAUAUAAUUUUUUUUUACACUGGGUCUCACUUUUGUCUCCUAAACUGGGGUGCAGUGUUGUGAUCACAGCUUAUUGCAGCCUUGACUUCCAGGACUCAAGUGAUCCUCCCACCUCAGCCUCCCGAAUAGCUGGGACUACAGGCGCCUGGCUAAUUAAAAAAAAAAAAAAAUUCUUUGUAGAGAUGACGUCUGACUAUAUUGUCCAGACUGGUAUCAAACUCCUGGGCUCAAGUAAGUCUCCUGCCUUGGUUUCCCAAAGUGUUGAGAUUACAGGUGUGAGCCACUGCACCCGGCCUCGAUGUGUGCUUUAAACACUAUAUUUCUCGUGGUCUUCCCUUUCUACCUCCUGGUUUACCCCCCAGUAACUUUGCUUAUGCUCCUGUUCCCUCCUAGAAGACCCCUUUCUUCCUCCCUCAUCUGAUGCUAACACAUUCCUUUUUUCCCUCAAUUUUUCAAUAAAGUAUCUGGCAUCCAAGAGAUAUAAAGAAUACAUUACCAAGCUUAAGAAACAAAGUAUAUCAACAUGGUUAAAGCUCUUUGUAUAUUCCUUCCUAAUCCUUUCCUUACUUCUCCCAGGUAACCAUCAUUCUGAAUCUUGUGUGUUACCUUUUCAUAAUGAUCUUUGUACAUGAAUAUCCGCAUGCAUCUCUAAGCAAUAUGCACUGUUGCUUAAAAUGCUUUCACGUUUUGUAAAUGAUAUCAUACUGUCUAUAUUCCCCUAUAACUUGCCAUGUUUGCCCUCUCUCAUGUUUUUGAGGUGCUCCGUGUUAAUGCAUACAGCCCCAGUUCACCCAUUUUCAGUAAUGUACAGUAUUUAAAUGUGUGUGUGUGUUUCUGUAA